GGUGGGGAAGGUAGGAUCCCCGCACAGCGUCGACGCGGCCCGCGCGUUCUUUCCUCGUUCCUCGGGGACGAGCUGCCUUGUCUGGCAAGACUCUGCCAUUAGGGUGAGCCGCUGCAGAGCCGAAGGAAGACCUGAGGGAAGGCCGGAGACAGGUGUCCUCCCAGAAGCUGGACAAACAGGCAGUGAGCAGCAGAAGCCGGCCGAAUACCGCGCUUCCGUGAUGGUGUUCCCAGGGUUACGCCAUCCUCGCCUUCCCCUCCGGAGCUCCGUUCUUCCAUCUGGGUCCUUUGGCCUCCGGCCUUCCCUCUGUCCUCACAGUCCCAGGGCCUCCAGAGCCUCUGAAGAGUGAGGCUGCACAGAUGGACCUGAGCUGUGGUCUCUCCUCCCCAGUCUGCCAUCGCCCCAGGAUGGGGUUAAAGCUGCCUGGCUAACCCACAUCAAAGGCCAUACCCAUCAUGUCCCCAUCCAGCCCCCCUCCGGCGCCCCCGCCUCUCCACUCCCUGCCCUGGCCUCCUCAUGCUUGUUCUGCCCAUGGAAUGUUCUUCAGCGGCUUCUCCACGGAACAGACUCAUCUUCCAAGACCCAAAUGAAUCCCCGUCUCCUCUGAGAAGAUCUCCUAAGUCUCUGAGCACCCUGUGUCCCGCAGCCUAGCGCCCCGUCCUUGGAGCCCGCUCCCCUCCCUCAGUCCGCGUUGCGGCACUGUUCGUGUUCACCCUGCUCACUCCCUUGAUCGCAGCCCCUGGCAGAAAGACGUGGCUGAGCCCCACUCUGCCUCAAAAACAUACACAGCAGUCCUUUAAUACGAGAUGGGGAGAAUGCAUACGAAUGAAGGGACUGGUUCCUUCCUGUGCCCCAGGGGAUCACCUCUGCAGCUCCCAGGGUGAGCGCACCCCUACCUGGAACCUUACCUUAGAUCAGGAGCUUGAGGGUGGACGAGGUGUUGAUUGUGGUAUUUCCCAAAGGCUGGCACAGCACCUGGGCACAUGG